GGUCUAUAAUUAUUCCAGGACUUAAAGUGGGUUCAGUAACGACGCGCACUUGUCCGAUAUUAGCAUCGUAAAGUCCGCCAAAAAACAUGGCUUUUGCUACUAACAACAAAGCCCCUAUUCCUAAGAAAAUCAAGUGAUUUCCUAAAAUAAAACUCAAUUUUUUGGGGUCGUCCCA
rnacentral:antisense_RNA from 1 species